CUCACAGGCUCGGUGCGCCCCAGCAGACCUAGCUGCCAGGCAGUGACAACAUGCGUUACCUUCAUGUCCACUGACGGGUCCCCCUGCAGCAGCGCCCACUCAUACUGGACGAUGGCGUGGUCAUCUGUGCUCUCGCGGCCGUCUAGAACCACCCCGUCUGUGGGCAGAUGCAGAACCACAUCCUGCCCAGCCUUGCUAAGUGGAGGCGCAUCCUUUUCU
rnacentral:lncRNA from 1 species